CCCUUAGAUGUUCUGGGCCGCACGCGCGCUACACUGAUGCAUUCAACGAGCCUAUCCUUGACCGACAGGUCCGGGUAAUCUUUGAAUCUGCAUCGUGACGGGGAUAGAUUAUUGCAAUUAUUAAUCUUCAACGAGGAAUGCCUAGUAGGCGUAGUUCAUCAGACUGCAUCGAUUACGUCCAUGCCCUUUGUACACACCGCCCGUCGCUCCUACCGAUUGGAUGAUCCGGUGAGCUAUUCGGACCUUCGCUUCGUCGAUUUUCGGCUUUGUGAGGGAAAGUCUCGCGAACCUUAUCAUCUAGAGGAAGGAGAAGUCGUAACA
rnacentral:rRNA from 1 species